GGACAGCUCAGUUGGUAGAGCACAAUAAUCUUAAUGUCAGGGCUGUGGGUUCAAACCCCACAAGAUCCU